UUAGCUGUGUCUGAGCGUCUCUCAAUAUUGCUUGCCCGUCAGAAUCACAUGGAGAACAGUUGAAAUUCAAGAGUUCAGCCAACCCCAGUCAGGUCUGGAUCAGAGAAGCAGAACCACCAUGAGGGAUACAACAUAGGGAGAUUCACUUUAUGGAUUAGACCUUACACAAUUGUGGGAACUGGUUAAGAACUCUGAAAGGCUCUUUACUUUCCAUCUAUUGUUGAGUCUGAAGUCAUUGGCUGCCAUCCAGAAGGAGAGUUGGACAUGAAGUGGGGAGGAGCAAGACAACCUGGAAACCCUGAGGAGGACAAACUUGAAACCUGCAUCUGUCUCGUUUCCUACAACAUUGAUGAUAUGGGUGACCUUCACGAGAAGCUGGUGUCCUUUGCCAUGCAGCUACACACACACCUGGCCCAGGGUCCAGAGAGGUUGAAGAUGAUCCAGCAGAACCUAAAGGAGAUGUGGCCAGAUGCUGCCCUAUGCCAAUAAGGAGAACUACUAAAUCGACAACAUUGUACACGAGCCGCCUGUUCCUGGUACCCUAUGUCAGCCUUCAGAGGGUAAAAAUGGUGGCUCUUUCAUUUGUGCCUUCCAAAUCUCAUGGAAAUUUCUCUCAUGGUCAAUUGGAACCACUUAGGGAAGAGAAUUCUUGGAAGUAUAGUUCCAGCUAGUUGACAAUACAAGACUAUAGUAUCUUAUACCCUCGUUAGGACAGUGGGAAACUCUUAGAACACCUUAACUCUGUCUUGUUCCAACUGACAUGAUAUUAUUUUCUAAUAUUUUAAUUCUUUCUUUAAAUACAAAUCAAAAGCCAUUGUAAAUAUCUUAUAUAGAUAAUUUUUGCUUAUAUUUACCUCGUAUCAAUUUCUCACCAUUCGUUCUUGCAACUAAGACUUUCCUUCUGUGAGCAUUUUCCUUCUCUCCAAUGUAUAUCCUUUAAAAGUUAUUUUAUUAAAGAUAUGAUGGUAGUAAA